AUGGAUAACCGGGAGAAAUCCCGCCUAAUACAACAUAAUGCCGGGAGGGGACAUCCCCUGCCGGCCAAAGGGGGCGACCCCGGUCACGGAUGGGCAUGCGGCGCAUUAGGUAGUUGGUGGGGCAACGGCCCACCAAGCCGACGAUGCGUAGGGGUUCUGAGAGGAAGGUCCCCCACAUUGGAACUGAGACACGGUCCAAACUCCUACGGGAGGCAGCAGUGAGGAAUAUUGGUCAAUGGCCGGAAGGCUGAACCAGCCAAGUCGCGUGAGGGAAUAAGGCCCUACGGGUCGUAAACCUCUUUUGCCAGGGAGCAAUGCCGUCCACGUGUGGACGGAAGGAGAGUACCUGGAGAAAAAGCAUCGGCUAACUCCGUGCCAGCAGCCGCGGUAAUACGGAGGAUGCGAGCGUUAUCCGGAUUUAUUGGGUUUAAAGGGUGCGUAGGCGGCCUGCCAAGUCAGCGGUAAAAUUGCGGGGCUCAACCCCGUACAGCCGUUGAAACUGCCGGGCUCGAGUGGGCGAGAAGUAUGCGGAAUGCGUGGUGUAGCGGUGAAAUGCAUAGAUAUCACGCAGAACCCCGAUUGCGAAGGCAGCAUACCGGCGCCCUACUGACGCUGAGGCACGAAAGUGCGGGGAUCAAACAGGAUUAGAUACCCUGGUAGUCCGCACAGUAAACG
rnacentral:rRNA from 1 species